rnacentral:rRNA from 3 species
GGUUAAGCGACUAAGCGUACACGGUGGAUGCCCUGGCAGUCAGAGGCGAUGAAGGACGUGCUAAUCUGCGAUAAGCGUCGGUAAGGUGAUAUGAACCGUUAUAACCGGCGAUUUCCGAAUGGGGAAACCCAGUGUGAUUCGUCACACUAUCAUUAACUGAAUCCAUAGGUUAAUGAGGCGAACCGGGGGAACUGAAACAUCUAAGUACCCCGAGGAAAAGAAAUCAACCGAGAUUCCCCCAGUAGCGGCGAGCGAACGGGGAGCAGCCCAGAGCCUGAAUCAGUGUGUGUGUUAGUGGAAGCGUCUGGAAAGGCGCGCGAUACAGGGUGACAGCCCCGUACACAAAAAUGCACAUGCUGUGAGCUCGAUGAGUAGGGCGGGACACGUGGUAUCCUGUCUGAAUAUGGGGGGACCAUCCUCCAAGGCUAAAUACUCCUGACUGACCGAUAGUGAACCAGUACCGUGAGGGAAAGGCGAAAAGAACCCCGGCGAGGGGAGUGAAAAAGAACCUGAAACCGUGUACGUACAAGCAGUGGGAGC